GAUGAACGCUGGCGGCGUGCCUAAUACAUGCAAGUCGAGCGAACGGACGAGAAGCUUGCUUCUCUGAUGUUAGCGGCGGACGGGUGAGUAACACGUGGAUAACCUACCUAUAAGACUGGGAUAACUUCGGGAAACCGGAUCUAAUACCGGAUAAUAUUUUGAACCGCAUUGUUCAAAAGUUAAAGACGGUCUUGCUGUCACUUAUAGAUGGAUCCGCGCUGCAUUAGCUAGUUGGUAAGGUAACGGCUUACCAAGGCAACGAUGCAUAGCCGACCUGAGAGGGUGAUCGGCCAGACUGGAACUGAGACACGGUCCAGACUCCUACGGGAGGCAGCAGUAGGGAAUCUUCCGCGAUGGGCGAAAGCCUGACGGAGCAACGCGGCGUGAGUGAUGAAGGUCUUCGGAUCGUAAAACUCUGUUAUUAGGGAAGAAGAUAUGUGUAAGUAACUGUGCACAUCUUGACGGUACCUAAUCAGAAAGCCACGGCUAACUACGUG
rnacentral:rRNA from 1 species